rnacentral:lncRNA from 1 species
AUGGGAUACAGAUGUGCUUUCAAACAUUCUCUCUACAAUACAGGCUCUACCUGGGCAAGGCACAGUAACCACGAUAGUGUUAGCAAGCCAGGCUGUGGUUGCACUAGCUCUGUUCUUCACUGGACCCAAGGGCUGACUGC